rnacentral:tRNA from 2 species
CGGGUUGUGGCGCAGCUUGGUAGCGCACAUCACUGGGGGUGAUGGGGUCGCAGGUUCAAAUCCUGUCAACCCGA